UCAGACAGAGGAGCUGUGCCUAUAAAAGACCAGCUUGGUUGUUUGGGAGUCAAAGCUGGGCUGGGCUGGGCUGGGCUGGGCUGGGCUGGGCUGGGCUGGGCUGUGGUGAGGAGAGUGCUGUGUUUGGGAUUUUUGAUUCAAACCAUUGAUGUUGACUAUGACUCUUGGCGUGACAGUCAGGUUGCUUUGGAUAUGCCUUUUCCUAAGUGAAAUAUGCUGUCAGCAACGUCAACAAGGGCUGGAAGGUCCCCAGAGAUUUGGGAACUAUAAAUACAAUCCUAGGCCUGACGUUAGUGACUCUGUGAACCAGAUGCCCAAGGUGCAGGCCCAGAUGCCCCCAAUAUGGGCCAAGAUGCCCGCAGCCCCAGUGAACCAGAUGCCCAAGAUGCCCCCAGCCCCAGUGAACCAGGCAGCCCAGAUGCCCAAGGUGCAGGCCCAGAUGCUGCUUCCUCAAAUGACUGCAUCAAACCCUAUUAAGGGUAGUCUUGGCAGCUCCUCCAUGGAUGUCGGUGGAGAAACCACUCAUGGUGAUGCUGAGGGUCCCUCAUCAGGGCAAGAGCGCUUCCUUGUGAUCACAGAGCCAUCAGGUUUUCAAACGCGCUACGUGGUUAAAUCCUUCAAUCGUUACGUCCUUGGAAAAAGGGUCUUUUCCAAAACCACCUACAUCCCACUGGACUUCCUUCCAACUGAUGCUGCUGAUCCGGUUGCUUAUGACCCCAGUUUUCCUGGACAUGAAGCCCAGGCUGACCAAACUGUGGAUGUCAAAGAGUGACUUUGAGAGCGCUUUGUCAUGAAGUCCUGGGCUCAAACAUUGAUGGAUAUCUAUGCUUGUCUUCAUAUUGUAGAUGAAAAAAUAAAGGCUUUUCUCUAAUUUUGUAUGUUUCUGUU
rnacentral:lncRNA from 1 species